ACCCCCCCUGCGCGCCCGCGCCCCCGCCCCGGAGGAGCGCAGCAGCCGGGUUCCGAAGGCCUGGCUUCCGCAGCUGCAGUGAAGGGGUUUGCGGGGAGAGGACGCAGACUCCGAGCAGAGGUUUACCGGCCGCGGCUCAAGUUUCCGAGGCCGCGGGCCGCAUCCGCUCCAUCCAGCGCCGGCCCUCCCGCCUCAGCGCCGACCCCCGGGACCGGCCCCCUCCUCGGCGGGUGCGGCUCGGAGCAUCGCGGCCCGGCCCGGCCCGGCCCGGGCAGGAUCCCAGGGCUCCGCUCCUCGGCUCGGUGCCCGCCAGCCGGCCCGCCUGCCUCCCCUCGCGCUCCCGCUCCCGCUCCGGCUCCCGCUCCCGCUCCCGCUCCCGCUCCCGCUCCCGCUCCCGCUCCCUCCCUCUUGGCUGCUCGCUCCGCGCUCCCUUUUGUUGCAAAUAAACUUUGUGGCUGAGGAAAGGGGGCGGGAGGCGGGGCCUCGCGCCCAAAAGAGGGGGUGGGCUCCGGGCGCGCGCGAGGAAGGGAAUCGGGAUGGGGGGGAGGGAAUCGGGGUGGAGUCGAAGGAGAGAAACAAGACUGCGGGAGCACACGCGGGCCGGAGCGACCCUCCGAGGUCCCCCUCUGGACGAGCGGCUGAGCUGCCCCCCGCGGGACUCGCUCCGACGCACGGAACCCCUGCCGCCGUGCAGCCGAGGCUGCGCACCCACUGCGGGUCAGACGCUUCUGUGCGGUAACACCUUCUGUCCGAGGGACCCCAACAUGGCAACCUCCGACCCGUAAACUGGUACACACCGACCGUCAGGUCCGGCUCUGACCCUCCCACGGCGCUCCAGGUGCUCCACCCUUCGUGGCCACGCCCCCGCCCGCCCGCAAGUUUCCCGCGGCCCACCCUAGGCUCGCCCCCCCACCUGCCCCCGCCGUCUCCGAGGCCCCUCCUCGAUGCCCGCCUCCUGAGCGCCUUGAUACGCGGCUCUUACGCCCUCUACCGGCCGGAUUCGCCCAUCCCAUGGAGUCCAGGACAGAGCCGUUUCUAGCCUACUCCCUUCGCAAAGUCCCUUCAGCCUCACACACAAAAGGAGCUCCAGCUGAAACGACUUGCCACUGCCAAACCGACACACCUACCUGUGGCCCUCCACCCUCCUAACAAAACGAAUGGGUCGCCUCUCCUACUGCAAGCUGAUCCACCGUUGAGCUGGCCUUCCACCUCUGCCCCAGUCUGGCAAGUCUCCCAUUGUACCGGGUACUGGGGCCUUCCCCACCUCCACCUGCCUCGGGGAGGUCCCAUUCAUCCUCAUAGUCCCAGCUUAAGUGCAAGGUGGCUCCUUGACAUCUGAAUGAGCCAAUGGGAAUUUAUGGAGUGCCGUUGAAUAUAUGCGUAAUAUUAUUUCAUUCAUUUUAUUUAAUCCUAGAACCACCCUGUAGGUAGAUAAUAUUGCCUCUUCUCUAUGGGUCAUGAAGGAGAUAUAACUUUGACCAUUGCCAAAGUCAGGAAAUGGCAGUGCCUUCUAUGACUCAAAUUCAGAUUUGAGGACCUUCAAACACCAUGCUCCUCCAGUCUUCACUGGCCCCAGAUCCCUGAUGAAGAAGGGGUUCUCUCUCCUUGAGCCCCCAGCAGCCUCUUCGUUCUCCUUGGGGCUAGGCUCGCCUUCCCCAGAAAGAGAAUAGCGUGGUCUGACUCACUCCCCUCGGCCCAAGAGGACUGUGGCUAGACCUGACUAGUCUGGCAGGCCCUGGGAGCAGGAGGCCCUGGUCCAGAUCAGAGGGACAGGGAUGGGCCUAGGGCAAGAUGGUAGACACUAUGGGAUUGAUUGACCAUGGGCCUUGCCAUUUGCUUCCCCUGGGUUGUGGCAAAUCACUGUAGGGAGAAAACUUUCUCUUUGAGUUGAGACCAGCCUCCUCUAAGUCCCUCACCUCAACUUUGUCUCAGCUCUGCCUCAAAAGGACAUCUCUCCUUCACUGGGGAAUUGAUGGCAAGAAAGAGAACCCUCCUGGCCUAUUGCUCUCUACCUUUGCCUUGCUGUGUGACCUUGUGUGUAUCCUUACACUUCCCCGGGCCUCGGGUGCCUCAUCUGAAAAGUGAGGAGUGGGUCUAGAUUUACCCAAAGGUGCCUCUCUGACUCUGUUUGAAGUCAGACUCUUGUUUCCUCUGAAGUGUUUUUCUACUCUUUUGGGGGAAGUUUUGGUAUUGUGGGGGGACCCUCAUUCUGUGAAUCACUGCUUUCCUCCAUUCACAGUGGUCUCUACCACCUGAAAUUUGUACUUGUUCAAACUCUUUCAUAUCCUAUUUUGUCUUCAUAUCACUUCUGGAAUAGAGGUUUUUAUUCCCAUGUCACAGAUGGGUAAACUGAUGGAGAGGAGCAGGGACUCAGGUCACCUCAGCAUCCUGCAGCUUGGCCUUCAGGGGGGCUGACUGAGGACUUUGGAUCAGGAAUUCCCCUUGGUGGGGAGGGAGAGUGUCUGAUGAUCUAGGCUGGACCUCCACCCAAUGCAACACUCACCCAAUCAGAGAGUGGCUUGGCUGCUUCCAGCACCUCCUGAGUCCUUCCAGCCUCGGUUGCUUCUGAUUCAUGAUGAGACAAAGUCAUCUCCCAGGUACCGAGGGGGCCUGGUUGUGUUUAGCCCUUCAAAGACUUAUCUAGGAGGUGGCUGGAAACAUGGGGAAUCAAGAUGGAGAGGGGGACACUGUGCUGAGAGUCUAGAGCUGGGCCCAGUGCAGGCACCCUCACAGACACGCCAGGUGACCCUCAGCAGGUCGCUCUCUUCCUUUGGGACUUAGGCUCCUCGCCUAUGAAAGGGGAAUGAAAACAACCCCAUCUACCCAGUGACUCACGGUGACCCAGCAAGAUCAGGGCUGUUGGUCCCUUGGAGAAAUCAAGAUAGUAAGGUUGUGAUGAUCACAGUCAUGGCCAAUGAUGGGCCUUGGGUACUUAAGAGGAAGAAAGAUGAGGAAUAGAGGACUCCCAAGAAGCAGUAAGCCCCAGGAAGGAACUGUCUUGGGGGAAUCAGGCUCUUGACUCCAUUCCCAAGUCAAUUAGAAAUGACCUGACAGUGUCCCCUUUCCUGUAUAAUUAGCCCUCAAACGCACAGAAUUGAAUUAUUUAUGACUUUUUGUUCAUGGCAUAUUCUCACCACUUAUUUAAUUGGCUCCCACCACAAAACAAAACAAUUAGGACUUUGACGAUCUCCUACAUCUCAUUAUCUAGCUUCCCUAACCCCUUCUCCUGCUGCCAUACCACCCAGGAUAGCUAUUUCCUCUUGUGCUCAGCGUGCCCUUGCUUCCUUUUUGUAUAGUUUUGUUGCAUCUGUGUAUUCCUCCAAAGUAUGUAUUUUCAUUUUAGUUGUCUUUUUAACUUUAUAAAAAGGGCAUCUUGCUGUGUACAAUUUUCUUGAAA